UCGGGAAUUUUGCGCAAUGGGCGAAAGCCUGACGCAGCAACGCCGCGUGAGGGAUGAAGGCCUUCGGGUCGUAAACCUCUGUCGGGAGGGAAGAACGGUGAGGGUUCAAACAGGGCUCUCGCCUGACGGUACCUCCAAAGGAAGCACCGGCUAACUCCGUGCCAGCAGCCGCGGUAAUACGGAGGGUGCAAGCGUUGUUCGGAAUUACUGGGCGUAAAGCGCGUGUAGGCGGCUUGGCAAGUCGGAUGUGAAAUCCCGGGGCCCAACCCCGGAACUGCAUCCGAAACUGCCUCGCUAGAGUCCCGGAGAGGAAGGCAGAAUUCCCGGUGUAGGGGUGAAAUCCGUAGAUAUCGGGAGGAAUACCAGCGGCGAAGGCGGCCUUCUGGACGGUGACUGACGCUGAGACGCGAAAGCGUGGGGAGCAAACAGGAUUAGAUACCCCCGUAGUCC
rnacentral:rRNA from 1 species